UUUGUGUAACCCAACUUGUUGGGUUAUAUGUUGGGUAAUUUUGAAGCAGAGCCAGCUUAAUAGAUACAUAGCUGUUUCUCAAUAUUACUUUCUCUAGUCCACAAAAUGUAUUUUAAACAUAAGUUCAGGCGAGAAUAUAUAUGUAUAAUGUUCAAAUUUGCAGUCGGUUUGUAAAGUGAACGCCAAUUUUAAAGUUUAAUUACACAAAGUCGGAAUGUUACCGGCGUGACCACCGGGUGUCAGUGUUCUGCUUCCCCAGAGAGAACUGCUCCCUUCCCCCACACAGAGCAGCUGAACUUCUGCCUCUCACUGCAACGGUACCUGAAGCGGGAGUUUACUAUUCACCUCAGGAUUCAUGAACAGUUUUUCAUCGACUUAUCUCUGAUUUAUUUGAAGGAAAAGACCCUGAUGGAUAAAAGAUGGAUAUUUUUUCCUGGAGAAGCUAAAACAAUGUAACUUUGAGGUUCUGAUACCAGCUUUUACAAAGUUAUUUACAGAGUUCACCAGACUUCUCUGUGUUAUUUCCUGACCAUGCCGAAAAGCUAUUUGAAACUUGGGCAUUGCAUUUUCCAGACAGAAUCCUGCACUUCCCAGCCAAGAACCAGGAGCAUCAACAAAUCACCUACAGAACCCCAUGAUGAUAUUCCAACUCCUGUCUACAAAAGUGGGAAGAAAAU